GACGAACGCUGGCGGCGUGCCUAAUACAUGCAAGUAGAACGCACAGUUUAUACCGUAGCUUGCUACACCAUAGACUGUGAGUUGCGAACGGGUGAGUAACGCGUAGGUAACCUGCCUGGUAGCGGGGGAUAACUAUUGGAAACGAUAGCUAAUACCGCAUAAUAUUAAUUAUUGCAUGAUAAUUAAUUGAAAGGUGCAAUUGCACCACUACCAGAUGGCCCUGCGUUGUAUUAGCUAGUAGGUGAGGUAACGGCUCACCUAGGCGACGAUACAUAGCCGACCGGAGAGGGUGAUCGGCCACACUGGGACUGAGACACGGCCCAGACUCCUACGGGAGGCAGCAGUAGGGAAUCUUCGGCAAUGGACGAAAGUCUGACCGAGCAACGCCGCGUGAGUGAAGAAGGUGUUCGGAUCGUAAAGCUCUGUUGUAAGAGAAGAACGGGUGUGAGAGUGGAAAGUUCACACUGUGACGGUAUCUUACCAGAAAGGGACGGCUAACUACGUG
rnacentral:rRNA from 1 species